UCGCAGUCUGCAACUCGACUGCGUGAAGCUGGAAUCGCUAGUAAUCGCGCAUCAGCCAUGGCGCGGUGAAUACGUUCCCGGGCCUUGUACACACCGCCCGUCAAGCCAUGGAAGUCUGGGGGACCUGAAGACGGUAACCGCAGGGAGCCGUUAAGGGUAAAACAGGUAACUAGGGCUAAGUCGUAACAAGGUAAC
rnacentral:rRNA from 1 species